GCCGCGUGAUGCGUGAAGGCUUAGGGUGUAAAGCACUUUCACUGGUGAAGAUGAUGACGGUAACCAGAGAAGAAGCCCCGGCUAACUUCGUGCCAGCAGCCGCGGUAAUACGGAGGGGGCGAGCGUUGUUCGGAAUUACUGGGCGUAAAGGGCGCGUAGGCGGUCUUUUAAGUUAGGCGUGAAAGCCCCGGGCUCAACCCGGGAACUGCGCUUAAGACUGGAAGACUAGAAAACGGAAGAGGGUAGUGGAAUUCCCAGUGUAGAGGUGAAAUUCGUAGAUAUUUGGAAGAACACCAGUGGCGAAAGCGGCUACCUGGUCCCAUUUUGACGCUGAGGCGCGAAAGGUGGGGAGCAAACARGAUUAGAUACCCUGGUAGUCCACGCCGUAAACGAUGUCUGCUAGAUGUCGGGGGGUUUCCCCUCGGUGUCGCCCCUAACSSAUUAAGCAGACCCCCU
rnacentral:rRNA from 1 species